rnacentral:rRNA from 1 species
CCUACGGGAGGCAGCAGUGAGGAAUAUUGGUCAAUGGACGAGAGUCUGAACCAGCCAAGUAGCGUGAAGGAUGACUGCCCUAUGGGUUGUAAACUUCUUUUAUAUGGGAAUAAAAUGUUCCACGUGUGUGAUUUUGUAUGUACCAUAUGCAUAAGGAUCGGCUAAUUCCGUGCCAGCCGCCGCGGUACUACGGAGCAUCCGAGCGUUAUCCGGAUUUAUUGGGUUUAAAGGGAGCGUAGGUGGAUUGUUAAGUCAGUUGUGAAAGUUUGCGGCUCAACCGUAAAAUUGCAGUUGAAACUGGCAGUCUAGAGGACAGUAGAGGUGGGCGGAAUUCGUGGUGGAGCGGUGAAAUGCUUAGAUAUCACGAAGAACUCCGAUUGCGAAGGCAGCUCACUGGACUGCAACUGACACUGAGGCUCGAAAGUGUGGGUAUCAAACAGGAUUAGAUACCCGGGUAGUC